CCAUCCCAUAGCCUUUUGGCUUGUACUUGCCCCCAUCCAUCAUAUCGGCUACUCUCUUCCUCAGGCCGCUCGAUUCCAUUGCAGGACCGUGCUCUUUUGCUUUGAUUCGGCGAUGUGGAGGGGAUCAAUGGAGCUACUGCAGGGAAGAAGAAGAAGAUCGCAUGGUGAGGCUGCAGAAGCUUCGGCCCGUCAAUUGCGCAUCGGAUGGUCGUGAGAAACCGCCGAUUUCGCAGAUGGCAGAUGAUCCAGAGUGCAACACCGACGGUUUCGCGAUCUCCAGGCGUAGAUCACCUCAGGACGAGUAAUGUAUUCAUGGAGCAGCAGCCAGGGGUAGUGCUCCACCAUGCAUGCAUGACAGCUGAUAUCUUUGACCCGGGCAAGCUCCAUCAAAGGACGUGCAAACCAAUGGGUGAGAAACCUAUCUCUAUGCUACCGCUCCCAAGUCCAGACGGGCACACGCGUUUGGUAAUUAGUAGUUCUAGCUAGCUUAUUACAGCCAUGUGAUUGUGAUGACGCUGCUUAAUUACCUGACUCCAUGGACAUGAAUUACAAAAACGGUUCCUUGAUGCCAGAGAUGGCGGUUCAUCCUUAUUUUUAUUGCCCUUUUUGUAAAUGAAAUCGCUCGGAAAACAAAGUUGAUUCUGAUGAAAAUGCAGACUGAUGCUCUGCUCGUGCGAAACGUGGCAGCAACGAAGGUUCCUGUGACUGAGAAUCCAGGCUCACUGUCAUCUGCUCAUGCGCUGACUUCCUUGGCUGCCAACCCAGUGGACAGAGGGGUAUUUUUUUGAAUUCAAGAGCAUGGAGCCGUUAGGCGACUCGCAAGGCGACCGCCCCACCGCCGGUGAGAGUCGGUAAGGGUGGAGUGGCGGUGAAUAAUACGAAAUAUCCAAUGUUCGAAUUUGAGUCUUGGAGAAAUAUUUUUUUUUCUUCCGAAAAGGGGUUAUCCCCCACGAAAAGCGGAAGCAGCAACCGAGCUCCACAGAGCUCUUUAUUUUUCUUUGAACGAAAAUACUUUUUCACACUUCAAAAAAAUCUGAAAAAAAGUAUACACAUAGACAUAUGUUUGUAGUAUACAUGUGUAAAUUUUCAUAAACAUAUAUGUUAAUAUGUGAUGUAUACAAAAAAGACAAAUACAUGAAGUAAAAUAUGCCUUUUCCUAUUUGUUUUUGGGACUGAUAUUUGUCUUUUUUGUGUAGCAUGCAAAUAGUCAAAUUAGUUGAUGAAAUUUUAUACAUAUUUGAGGAACAUGCAUACGUAUUUAUAGAAAAAGAUUUGGCAUUUUUUGAAACUUUUAAAUAAUUUUGAUUUUUUUUGGUAAAAGGGGCUCCCUGUAGCCCGGUCUCUGCGACGCCUCACUCUUAUCCCCCGGCCUCUGUAUCAAAGAAAUACAUGCAGCCAUCUUAUUAAAAAGCAAAUAGUCCAACAAAGUCAUUAGGUCUCGAAUUACAAAAAGGCUCACAAAGAGCUAACUAUAAGAAAACGGAAUAGUCACAACCGGCGGAAUAAAGAAAGAUAGGAAACUAAACACAUAUCCUAUUACAUGA